rnacentral:rRNA from 1 species
CACGUAGGGCGCAAGCGUUGUCCGGAAUUAUUGGGCGUAAAGAGCUCGUAGGCGGUCUGUUGCGUCUGCUGUGAAAACUCGGGGCUUAACCCCGAGCCUGCAGUGGAUACGGGCAGACUAGAGGUAGGUAGGGGAGAAUGGAAUUCCCGGUGUAGCGGUGAAAUGCGCAGAUAUCAGGAGGAACACCGAUGGCGAAGGCAGGUCUCUGGGCCACUACUGACGCUGAGAAGCGAAAGCAUGGGGAGCGAUCCGG